UAUUUGCACCCGUAUUGAGGUUGUGAAUUUACAUUUUUGUAAAAACACAUUAAAAGGGAAUUAGGUUAAAUGCCUAAGCUGUACCCGCAACUGUAAGCUAUCAAGCUUGUUGUUAUCCACAUGCCACUGUUUAUUAUUUUAAAUGGGAAGGUGAACAACAAGACGCAAGCCAGGAGACCUGCCCAGUACUUUGAGUAUCA
rnacentral:ncRNA from 1 species